GAUGAACGCUAGCGGCAGGCUUAACACAUGCAAGUCGAGGGGCAUCGAGAGUAGCAAUACUUGUCGGCGACCGGCGCAAGGGUGCGUAACACGUGAGCAACAUACCCGUUUCAGGAGGAUAACCGGAGGAAACUCUGCCUAAUACUCCAUGACAUCAUCAAACGGCAUCGUUUGAUGAUUAAAGAUUUAUCGGAAACGGCUUGGCUCGCGGACAUUAGCUCGUUGGUGAGGUAACGGCUCACCAAGGCGACGAUGUCUAGGGGUUCUGAGAGGAAGGUCCCCCACACUGGAACUGAGACACGGUCCAGACUCCUACGGGAGGCAGCAGUGAGGAAUAUUGGACAAUGGUCGGAAGACUGAUCCAGCCAUGCCGCGUGAAGGUUACUGUCCUAUGGAUAUUAAACUUCUUUUGUAUGAGAGCAAUAAGGUGCACGUGUGCACCGAUGAGAGUAUCAUACGAAUAAGCAUCGGCUAA
rnacentral:rRNA from 1 species